AGACGAACAGCUCAGUAACUCUUAUUUGAUUUGAUGUAUUAGGAUUCUAACUAUGUUAAAUUAUAGGUAACAAUAAUACAAUAAGAAUAAGAUCUAUCAGUUAGUUGUUAAGGUAAUGGCUUAACAAGACUAUGACGGAUAACGGUAUUACUUUGUAAUAUUCCGGAGAAGGAGCCUGAGAGAUUGCUACUAAGUCUAAGGAUUGCAGCAGGGGCGAAACUUGACCUAUGAUAUUAUAUUGAGGCAGUUAUGAGUAGUAUUUUAUAAUUAUUGUAGUAUUGUAAGUACAUAUUACAAGAUAAAUCGGAGGGCAAAUCGAGUGCCAGCAGCCGCGGUAAUACUUGUUCCGAUAGUGUGUAUGAUGAUUGAUGCAGUUAAAAAGUCUGUAGUUUAUUUUAUAAUAAGCAUUGUAAGGUAUACUGUAUGGUUAGGAGAGAGAUGAAAUGUGAUAACCCUAACUGGAUGAACAGAAGCGAAAGCUGUAUACUUAAAUGUAUUAUUAGAACAAGGACGUAAGCUAGAGGAUCGAAGAUGAUUAGAUACCAUUGUAGUUCUAGCAGUAAACUAUGUUGAAUCAUAGAUAUAUUUUGAUAUAUAUUUAUGUAGAGAAAUUAAGAUUAUAUUGACUCUGGGGAUAGUAUGAUCGCAAGAUUGAAAAUUAAAGAAAUUGACGGAAGAAUACCACAAGGAGUGGAUUGUGCGGCUUAAUUUGACUCAACGCGGGGUAAUUUACCAGGUAUAACAUGNUAUAAUAUUUUAUCAUGAUAGUGGUGCAUGGCCGUUUCCAAUGGAUGCUGUGAAGUAAUGAUUAAUUUCAACAAGAUGUGAGACCCUCAUUUAGACAGAUGUAGUGAUACAUAUGAAGGAGAGGAUUAAAACAGGUCCGUUAUGCCCUAAGAUAAUCUGGGUUGCACGCGCAAUACAAUAAUAUUUGAUAUUAUAAGGGAUAAUAUAAUGUAAGAUAUAUUUGAACAUGGAAUUGCUAGUAAAUUUUAUUUAAUAAGUAGAAUUGAAUGAGUCCCUGUUCUUUGUACACACCGCCCGUCGCU
rnacentral:rRNA from 1 species